ensembl:lncRNA
CUUUUACUCUAUAAGUCAUGCUAGAGGAAUAUAGUAUUGUGGCUGACUAACCUAGCCACUCCUCCCCAGUCUCUGAUCAUUCCUGGGAAGAGCCCCAACAGGAAGAACCCUGUGUCCUUCAGUGCCAGACGGAGCAGCGCCAUCGGGAUUGAGAACAUCCAGGAGGUGCAGGAGAGGAGGAGAGCCUGUCCUUUUCUGGAACACCACACAAGAGGGACUCAUUUGCGUACGUCUCCUGGGUAGAGGAUAGUGUGAGCAGUACUAGUGCCACCCGCCAGAUCAGCUUUCCAUGAUUGAGACGAUGGGACAGGAAGGCACAGGGACGAAGCUUUUGGUUCUGGGCAGAUCGCUGGGACAGGAUGGCUCCCCCUCCAACAUCCGAAGCAUCAACUUCAACCACAAAUUGACGCGAG